GGAUAUCAUGGCAGGAAUUAGGUGGCAG
rnacentral:piRNA from 1 species